UGGGAGCUGGCCUGAGGUUGAAGGCAGCUCCUCCCGUUAUGGGCCCCAAGAGCGCUGCUACCUCCCAAGGGAACACAGAGAAGGUGGCUGGCGUCUGUCCUGCGCAGCGAACGGUGGUCCGGGGAUGCUCCUGGACGGGGUGGAGCAGAUGGAUGACAGAGAAGUUGGGGGGCCCUGAGGAACAAGAGAAGCUGUGUUGGUGGCAGCAAAGGAAGACACCAGCCUGAAGGAGGUGCGGGACAGACAGGUGCUGGAUGGAGUGCUGCGUGGGGAUGAGGAUGUUAUUUUUGACAAAAUGAAGGGGAACAUUCAGGCGGUCAUUAGCGAGCAUGGUAAUGGGCUUGUCGCUUAUGCUCGGUGACAAGCUGUAGUGGCUUCUAAUUUCUCCUGCACCUCCAAUUACCCUUCAGGAGCAAGACCGUCCUCACGGUCAAGCCUUUCCAGCCAGCAGAUCCAAGCAAGGAAUAAGAUCUAUGCAGCUUCCAUGUGUCUCUGGGAGAGAAGAUUGAUAAAAGCAAUCAGAAAUUUCCGGAAUUGCCUGGAGAAGAGAAGGCCAGCGGGAGGGGAGGGGGCGAAGAUGAGGAAGGAGAGGGCACAAGUUAAUAACACCUGUCACGUUGCCGAGGGGAUGCUGAGGGC
rnacentral:lncRNA from 1 species